GGUUAAGCGACUAAGCGUACACGGUGGAUGCCCUGGCAGUCAGAGGCGAUGAAGGACGUGCUAAUCUGCGAAAAGCGUCGGUAAGGUGAUAUGAACCGUUAUAACCGGCGAUGUCCGAAUGGGGAAACCCAGUGCAAUUCGUUGCACUAUCGUUAACUGAAUACAUAGGUUAACGAGGCGAACCGGGGGAACUGAAACAUCUAAGUACCCCGAGGAAAAGAAAUCAACCGAGAUUCCCCCAGUAGCGGCGAGCGAACGGGGAGCAGCCCAGAGUCUGAAUCAGCUUGUGUGUUAGUGGAACGGUCUGGAAAGUCCGACGGUACAGGGUGAUAGUCCCGUACACCAAAAUGCACAGGUUGUGAACUCGAAGAGUAGGGCGGGACACGUGGUAUCCUGUCUGAAUAUGGGGGGACCAUCCUCCAAGGCUAAAUACUCCUGACUGACCGAUAGUGAACCAGUACCGUGAGGGAAAGGCGAAAAGAACCCCGGCGAGGGGAGUGAAAAAGAACCUGAAACCGUGUACGUACAAGCAGUGGGAGCACCUUCGGGUGUGACUGCGUACCUUUUGUAUAAUGGGUCAGCGACUUAUAUUCUGUAGCAAGGUUAACCGUAUAGGGGAGCCGCAGGGAAACCGAGUCUUAACUGGGCGUUAAGUUGCAGGGUAUAGACCCGAAACCCGGUGAUCUAGCCAUGGGCAGGUUGAAGGUUGGGUAACACUAACUGGAGGACCGAACCGACUAAUGUUGAAAAAUUAGCGGAUGACUUGUGGCUGGGGGUGAAAGGCCAAUCAAACCGGGAGAUAGCUGGUUCUCCCCGAAAGCUAUUUAGGUAGCGCCUCGUGAAUUCAUCUUCGGGGGUAGAGCACUGUUUCGGCUAGGGGGUCAUCCCGACUUACCAACCCGAUGCAAACUACGAAUACCGAAGAAUGUUAUCACGGGAGACACACGGCGGGUGCUAACGUCCGUCGUGAAGAGGGAAACAACCCAGACCGCCAGCUAAGGUCCCAAAGUCAUGGUUAAGUGGGAAACGAUGUGGGAAGGCACAGACAGCCAGGAUGUUGGCUUAGAAGCAGCCAUCAUUUAAAGAAAGCGUAAUAGCUCACUGGUCGAGUCGGCCUGCGCGGAAGAUGUAACGGGGCUAAACCAUGCACCGAAGCUGCGGCAGCGACACUAUGUGUUGUUGGGUAGGGGAGCGUUCUGUAAGCCUGCGAAGGUGUGCUGUGAGGCAUGCUGGAGGUAUCAGAAGUGCGAAUGCUGACAUAAGUAACGAUAAAGCGGGUGAAAAGCCCGCUCGCCGGAAGACCAAGGGUUCCUGUCCAACGUUAAUCGGGGCAGGGUGAGUCGACCCCUAAGGCGAGGCCGAAAGGCGUAGUCGAUGGGAAACAGGUUAAUAUUCCUGUACUUGGUGUUACUGCGAAGGGGGGACGGAGAAGGCUAUGUUAGCCGGGCGACGGUUGUCCCGGUUUAAGCAUGUAGGCUGGUUGUCCAGGCAAAUCCGGAUAAUCAAGGCUGAGGUGUGAUGACGAGGCACUACGGUGCUGAAGUAACAAAUGCCCUGCUUCCAGGAAAAGCCUCUAAGCAUCAGGUAACAUCAAAUCGUACCCCAAACCGACACAGGUGGUCAGGUAGAGAAUACCAAGGCGCUUGAGAGAACUCGGGUGAAGGAACUAGGCAAAAUGGUGCCGUAACUUCGGGAGAAGGCACGCUGGUGUGUAGGUGAAGCCCCUGCGGGUGGAGCUGAGACCAGUCGAAGAUACCAGCUGGCUGCAACUGUUUAUUAAAAACACAGCACUGUGCAAACACGAAAGUGGACGUAUACGGUGUGACGCCUGCCCGGUGCCGGAAGGUUAAUUGAUGGGGUUAUCCGUAAGGAGAAGCUCUUGAUCGAAGCCCCGGUAAACGGCGGCCGUAACUAUAACGGUCCUAAGGUAGCGAAAUUCCUUGUCGGGUAAGUUCCGACCUGCACGAAUGGCGUAAUGAUGGCCAGGCUGUCUCCACCCGAGACUCAGUGAAAUUGAACUCGCUGUGAAGAUGCAGUGUACCCGCGGCAAGACGGAAAGACCCCGUGAACCUUUACUAUAGCUUGACACUGAACAUUGAGCCUUGAUGUGUAGGAUAGGUGGGAGGCUUUGAAGCGUGGACGCCAGUCUGCGUGGAGCCAACCUUGAAAUACCACCCUUUAAUGUUUGAUGUUCUAACGUUGGCCCCUGACCGGGGUUGCGGACAGUGUCUGGUGGGUAGUUUGACUGGGGCGGUCUCCUCCCAAAGCGUAACGGAGGAGCACGAAGGUUAGCUAAUCCUGGUCGGACAUCAGGAGGUUAGUGCAAUGGCAUAAGCUAGCUUGACUGCGAGCGUGACGGCGCGAGCAGGUGCGAAAGCAGGUCAUAGUGAUCCGGUGGUUCUGAAUGGAAGGGCCAUCGCUCAACGGAUAAAAGGUACUCCGGGGAUAACAGGCUGAUACCGCCCAAGAGUUCAUAUCGACGGCGGUGUUUGGCACCUCGAUGUCGGCUCAUCACAUCCUGGGGCUGAAGUAGGUCCCAAGGGUAUGGCUGUUCGCCAUUUAAAGUGGUACGCGAGCUGGGUUUAGAACGUCGUGAGACAGUUCGGUCCCUAUCUGCCGUGGGCGCUGGAGAAUUGAGGGGGGCUGCUCCUAGUACGAGAGGACCGGAGUGGACGCAUCACUGGUGUUCGGGUUGUCAUGCCAAUGGCACUGCCCGGUAGCUAAAUGCGGAAGAGAUAAGUGCUGAAAGCAUCUAAGCACGAAACUUGCCCCGAGAUGAGUUCUCCCUGAGACUUUAAGUCUCCUGAAGGAACGUU
rnacentral:rRNA from 1 species